rnacentral:rRNA from 1 species
AGACCCGAAACCCGGUGAUCUAGCCAUGGGCAGGUUGAAGGUUGGGUAACACUAACUGGAGGACCGAACCGACUAAUGUUGAAAAAUUAGCGGAUGACCUGUGGCUGGGGGUGAAAGGCCAAUCAAACCGGGAGAUAGCUGGUUCUCCCCGAAAGCUAUUUAGGUAGCGCCUCGUGAAUUCAUCUCCGGGGGUAGAGCACUGUUUCGGCUAGGGGGCCAUCCCGGCUUACCAACCCGAUGCAAACUGCGAAUACCGGAGAAUGUUAUCACGGGAGACACACGGCGGGUGCUAACGUCCGUCGUGAAGAGGGAAACAACCCAGACCGCCAGCUAAGGUCCCAAAGUCAUGGUUAAGUGGGAAACGAUGUGGGAAGGCCCAGACAGCCAGGAUGUUGGCUUAGAAGCAGCCAUCAUUUAAAGAAAGCGUAAUAGCUCACUGGUCGAGUCGGCCUGCGCGGAAGAUGUAACGGGGCUAAACCAUGCACCGAAGCUGCGGCAGCGAACGUAUCACUUAAAGCGAUUCAGCGGGUUACGAUUGACGGAGCGAAGCGACGUCAAAGCGUAUACAAAGUCGAGUCGGUUUAAGGAUACGUUCGUUGGGUAGGGGAGCGUUCUGUAAGCCUGUGAAGGUGGCCUGUGAGGGUUGCUGGAGGUAUCAGAAGUGCGAAUGCUGACAUAAGUAACGAUAAAGCGGGUGAAAAGCCCGCUCGCCGGAAGACCAAGGGUUCCUGUCCAACGUUAAUCGGGGCAGGGUGAGUCGACCCCUAAGGCGAGGCCGAAAGGCGUAGUCGAUGGGAAACGGGUUAAUAUUCCCGUACUUGGUGUUACUGCGAAGGGGGGACGGAGAAGGCUAUGUUGGCCGGGCGACGGUUGUCCCGGUUUAAGCGUGUAGGUGUGUGUUCCAGGUAAAUCCGGUUCACUUUAACACUGAGGCGUGACGACGAGGCACUACGGUGCUGAAGCAACAAAUGCCCUGCUUCCAGGAAAAGCCUCUAAGCAUCAGGUAACAUCAAAUCGUACCCCAAACCGACACAGGUGGUCAGGUAGAGAAUACCAAGGCGCUUGAGAGAACUCGGGUGAAGGAACUAGGCAAAAUGGUGCCGUAACUUCGGGAGAAGGCACGCUGACACGUAGGUGAAGUGAUUUACUCAUGGAGCUGAAGUCAGUCGAAGAUACCAGCUGGCUGCAACUGUUUAUUAAAAACACAGCACUGUGCAAACACGAAAGUGGACGUAUACGGUGUGACGCCUGCCCGGUGCCGGAAGGUUAAUUGAUGGGGUCAGCGCAAGCGAAGCUCCUGAUCGAAGCCCCGGUAAACGGCGGCCGUAACUAUAACGGUCCUAAGGUAGCGAAAUUCCUUGUCGGGUAAGUUCCGACCUGCACGAAUGGCGUAAUGAUGGCCAGGCUGUCUCCACCCGAGACUCAGUGAAAUUGAACUCGCUGUGAAGAUGCAGUGUACCCGCGGCAAGACGGAAAGACCCCGUGAACCUUUACUAUAGCUUGACACUGAACAUUGAGCCUUGAUGUGUAGGAUAGGUGGGAGGCUUUGAAGUGUGGACGCCAGUCUGCAUGGAGCCGGCCUUGAAAUACCACCCUUUAAUGUUUGAUGUUCUAACGUGGACCCGUAAUCCGGGUUGCGGACAGUGUCUGGUGGGUAGUUUGACUGGGGCGGUCUCCUCCUAAAGAGUAACGGAGGAGCACGAAGGUUGGCUAAUCCUGGUCGGACAUCAGGAGGUUAGUGCAAUGGCAUAAGCCAGCUUGACUGCGAGCGUGACGGCGCGAGCAGGUGCGAAAGCAGGUCAUAGUGAUCCGGUGGUUCUGAAUGGAAGGGCCAUCGCUCAACGGAUAAAAGGUACUCCGGGGAUAACAGGCUGAUACCGCCCAAGAGUUCAUAUCGACGGCGGUGUUUGGCACCUCGAUGUCGGCUCAUCACAUCCUGGGGCUGAAGUAGGUCCCAAGGGUAUGGCUGUUCGCCAUUUAAAGUGGUACGCGAGCUGGGUUUAGAACGUCGUGAGACAGUUCGGUCCCUAUCUGCCGUGGGCGCUGGAGAACUGAGGGGGGCUGCUCCUAGUACGAGAGGACCGGAGUGGACGCAUCACUGGUGUUCGGGUUGUCAUGCCAAUGGCACUGCCCGGUAGCUAAAUGCGGAAGAGAUAAGUGCUGAAAGCAUCUAAGCACGAAACUUGCCCCGA